UCUUCUCUCCAGGUCUCCUCUCUUCUCUCCAUUUCUCUUCUCUCCAAGUUCCAUCUCUCCAGGUCUCUUCUCAUCUCUCCAGGUCUCUUCUCUUCUCUCCAGGUCUCUUCUCUUCUCUCCAGGUCUCUUCUCUUCUCUCCAGGUCUCCUCUCUUCUCUCCAGGUCUCCUCUCUUCUCUCCAUUUCUCUUCUCUCCAAGUUCCAUCUCUCCAGGUCUCUUCUCUUCUCUCCAGGUCUCCUCUCUUCUCUCCAGGUCUCUUCUCUUCUCUCCAGGUCUCCUCUCUUCUCUCCACGUCUCCUCUCUUCUCUCCAGGUCUCUUCUCAUCUCUCCAGGUCUCUUCUCUUCAGGUCUCUUCUCUUCUCUCCAGGUCUCUUCUCUUCUCUCCAGGUCUCCUCUCUUCUCUCCAGGUCUCCUCUCUUCUCUCCAUUUCUCUUCUCUCCAAGUUCCAUCUCUCCAGGUCUCUUCUCAUCUCUCCAGGUCUCUUCUCUGCUCUCCAGGUCUCCUCUCUUCUCUCCAGGUCUCCUCUCUUCUCUCCAGGUCUCUUCUCUUCUCUCCAGGUCUCCUCUCUUCUCUCCACGUCUCCUCUCUUCUCUCCAGGUCUCUUCUCAUCUCUCCAGGUCUCUUCUCUUCAGGUCUCUUCUCUCCAGGUCUCUUCUCUUCUCUCCAGGUCUCCUCUCUUCUCUCCAGGUCUCCUCUCUUCUCUCCAGGUCUCUUCUCUUCUCUCCAGGUCUCCUCUCUUCUCUCCAGGUCUCUUCUCUUCUCUCCAGGUCUCCUCUCUUC